CGUAGGACUCAGCAGGGGCUAGGCCGUGAACGCGGCUCUCUGCUCUUACUGUGGCGCCUGAAAGACCUGGGAGGUUCUCCCGGGCGGUCUUUGUGGCCUCCCUGUUCCCCACGAGGAGGGCUGUGGCUGCGAUCCCUCCUCCUCUCUAAGGGUCGUCUGCGCGCGCUGCCAACCGGGGUCAGCAGGGGGCGCGGCCGAGCCCAAGCCCAGAAGGGGAUCGAACUCCGGUCCUUGCGCUGGAAACCACUGAGGGUCUUGCUGGCCUGGAAAGUGAAACCCUUCCUCCUCAGCCUCCUGCGCAGCCCAGCUAUGGAAUUCCAAGACAUAAUUCCAUUUUGUCCUCCGCUCCCAACUGAGACCUCAAUGAUCCGGUGAUGCUGUGAUUCUCCAGGACAGGAAACAUCCUGGGAGCUGCAAACAUCCUGGGAGAACAAACAUCUACUCAGUUCCUCCUUGAUCUUGGACUGUUACACCUUGUUUACCCAGGAUGUACUGAACUCUCUGCGAGUCAUUUGUUACAUUUGUUUCUCCCGAUGUACUGAGUACUGAAUAAAAGGUGCAGUAAGCUGGGGGCUUUCUGCCUUUGCCCCCCAGAGCAGCACUGAUCAGACCCAAAGCUCAGCUUCUUCUCAGUCUCAUUUUUCUACCUUUUCUGUAAUUUGCCUUGUGCUGCUGUGGCUCGCAGGAGACUAGGACUUAACUGCAGAGGUUCUGGUAACGUCCCCUUUCCCUGUUCUCUACAACAGUGCUAUCACAUUAUCCUCUCAAUUGUAGGAUUACAGGUUGUGG
rnacentral:lncRNA from 1 species